AAUGCAGACAGAGCUUUAGUAUCCUGUUAGAUGAAAGCUCUUCACCUUAGAGCAAGGAUAAUGCUGAGCUGGGUUGAAGUAGAACUGAGAAGAAAUGGUGAUUGCAGGGCUAUUUUGAAAACAUGAGAAAGAAGAAUGAUUUUUUUGACUUUCACUAGUAACCUUUAAAUUUCCUAAAUCCCAGAACUAUAUGGUCAAAGGAAAACAAGUCAUUUUCUCGUUAGCACAGUGGGAAAGGCUGUGUUGCUUUGGGAGUUAAUGGACGGACUAAUAGUAGGUUUGUAAGUCAAUGCCAUGAAGAUUUGUGGCCAGGAAACAGUUCUGUGGAAACACAAAAUGGAAACAUCUGUUGAGAGCUGCUUUCCUUGGGUCUCUCUUCAAUUCAGGAGAGUGUCAGACUGAAACUGAGCAGAAAAUAAAAGGAACAGCAGCUUACAAGUGAGCACCCAAAAGUAUCAGAUUGCAUGGAGCCACCAACCCGAUGUCAGAUUGCAGAUGAGCACCUGUGCAUAACAGCAUCAGAUGGAUGUCGGGUUCCAGAUCAGCACAGCAGGACUGCUCUUUCAGGGAAGGUAUGAGUCUGAUGUCUUUCAAAAGGAACCGUCUUCUUCCCUGUGUGUAUCUUCCAUUGCUCAGGGAUCAGCCGUUUAUAGCUAGGGACAAACACUUCAAGGAUUUUUAUAAACACAUGCAAAAGCAGAGCGGUUACAAAUCAAGGGCCAAAUUCUGCCUUGAGUUAUCCCUAUGUGUUUAUGUCAGUGGGAUGUGAUCAAGAGCAGAAUUUGGCCUUGUAUAAUUGAAUUUUGAAUAGAUUUCAUGGUUAUUUCUGAUAUGAAAUAUAAAAGAACCCUUACAAAAGCCAACACCCCCAUGGAAUUAGUGGAGAUGAGUUUUUAAGUAGAAGUGGAUACAGGAAGAAGACGUUGGAGAACUUCGACAUCAGUUUUACAGUAGAUGAUAGCAGUAACAGAGCCAGGUUUUGAGCAGUGGGAGUGAUGGGCCACUGUUGUUAACACCGUCAAGUAUACCUAUUGGUUUGAAAAGGUGGCUGACCAUACACCUAAAGGAGGCUGGGUGGGAGAGGGCGGUCAUACUCCACCUCCUACCCUUCAAUCAGCUCUGCCAUUGGAUGAUAGUAGUUGUCAUUAUAAGAAAGGCCUCAGAUCCUGUAUA
ensembl:lncRNA